rnacentral:rRNA from 1 species
UGCGCAGGCGGCUAGGUGUGUUAGGCGUGAAAGCCCGGGGCUUAACCCCGGAAUUGCACCUAAAACUACAUGGCUAGAACAUUGGAGAGGGUAGCGGAAUUCACGGUGUAGCAGUGAAAUGCGUAGAUAUCGUGAGGAACACCAGAGGCGAAGGCGGCUACCUGGACAAUUGCUGACGCUCAGGCACGAAAGCGUGGGAGCAAACA